rnacentral:lncRNA from 1 species
GAGACCUCUCAGCUCAGUGCCAAGUGCACAGGAAGGACUCAACAAAGCUGAGAAGAAGUUAGUAUUUGUUGGAGCCUAGUUAUCUUGAUCUUAUCUAACUUACUCCACAGAUAUUUGUUUACACUGUGACAGCCCUGGGUUAAGCACUGGGCAUUGGAAGUCUCAUUUAAUCAUUAUAACAAAUGACUCAACCUCAUUAAGCAGAUGCCACUUUAGGACUCAUUUUGCAGAAAAGAAAACUGAGGCACAAGGUGUGGAGGUAUGAGUUAAGUGCUUUCCUAAGCUCCCACAGCUGGUAAAUGGCAUAUGUGGGAUUUCAAUCCAGAUAGUCUGGCUCCCAACCCUGCAACCAGUCAUUGGCAAGCCCAAGAUACCAACCUUAGUCUGUCUUUUUCUAAAAGCUGUUUUUUCUACAUAGCACAUUUAUGUCUAUGUAAAAGAUAUAUUUAUUUAAUUAUAGCAACUUCAGUUUAAAACAAGAAGUAACUUUUUAACAAGAAUUACCCCAAAAGGGAAUGGACUGUAAGCAGUGAGUCUCGUGUCAGAAAAUGUGUUGGAACAUGUUAGAUAAUCGAAAACAGUGUGGAAGGAAGCCAAGAAUUAUAACAGGGGGUCAGAGGAUUAAACUCGAUGACCCUAAAGUUAUUUGAAAUCCACGAGUCCACAAUAGAGUAACACAAGUAACCCUUGGUGAGUCAGAAUUUGAAUUUUUUUCCAUAUGGUUUUCAAUCAACCAACUUGAACUCUUUGUAAUUUCAAAAUAGCACCCUAAAAUGAUGGAAAAUUUUUUCCCAAACACUUCUACUAUUUCUUUCUAUUACAAAUCUCAUAGCAGGGCUGGGCUCAUGGCAAAGCAAGAAGCCUCUGUGCUGAACUUCAAGGCUUCUCGUUCUCUCCCUCGCCCACUGAGUCCUGGUGCCUGGAUGUGAUCAUCGCUGCCGCUUCCUUCCCGCUGUCCAUGGCCUUGACCCUUCUUCCUAACAGAAUCCCUAACUAUGUUCAGAUGUUGAGUAGCCAGUUAUUUCACAGGAUGCCAAAGCCAUAAAAGGUUAAGUCUUGAUUCGAUGAAGUCAAAUGUGGUAACUCUGUUGCCCUUGGAAAGUGAUUAGUUUAGGCGUGGGCAUGUGACACAGUUUUGGCUGAGGCGAUGUCAAGGGAAAUCUGUCUAUGAGGAUCUGGGAAAGUUUUUCUCACUAGUAAAAGGGACACAAGUUUAGCAGUUUCAUUUUCUGCUUCUAGAUGUUGUCACCUGUAAUGAAAGAGCCAUCUGGUACCAUCAUGGGAGCCAGCCUAAGAGGACAAACCAAACUGCUGAAGAUGACAGAGUAGAAAGAUGGAUGGAUAGUGGGUCCUUGAUGACAUCACAGCCACUGAAUUAACCAACGUUGGAAGUUCUCCGACUCUGGGCAUCUCCUUAAGAGAUAAAAUAAAUAAUCUGUUGUUUACUUGUUGUUUAUGCCAUUUGUCUUUGUUUUUUUUUAACUUGCAGCUGAAAGCAUCGUAAGGGAUAAAGUCAACUCACAGGGUCUAAAGCAUUGCAUCUCUCAGAAUCCCAUCAUGGAAUCCCAUAAUAGAAUUAUUUCUCUGGGAGAGCUAUGAAAUAAAAAAUUAAUAACAGUAAAAAAGAUAAAAAAUAAUAAAAUCAUCAUCAUUGUUAUCGUUAGGCAUCAUGGAAUGCAUAAGUUUUCGAAUAAAAUACAUCUACAUUUAAAAUCCAGCUUUUCAUCUUGCCAGCGUAAGGAAAUUAGUUAACCUCUCUGAUAUUGACACCUCAUGUUUUAAAGGGAACUGAUAUAACAAUAGUUUGCAAGGUUGUUGUAUGAAAUAUAAUAAUGUAUAUAAAGCAUCUGGAACCAAUAACUGGUAGUUCUGUCUAUUGGUCUCAAUUUUCUCAUUUAUAAAAUUGGUAUAAUAAAACUUAGCUCAUAUGGUAUAUGUGAGGCUUAAAAGAGGUCAUAAUCAGUACCUUAUACGUAACUAUAAUAGUUUUUUGGAGGUUGGAGAAUGGAGUGACCAAAUUGACCAGGGAGUGAAAUGAGGGCAUUGCUAUCUGUUGAGGGUGUUGGGAGACACCAGCAGAGCUCUGAAUGUUAGGAGAGGUGCACCACAGGAGGGGCAGAGGGCCCAAAGUCAGCCGUUACCUUCUGCAAUAUUUGACCAGGGGCUAGCUCUCCUUGGAACUAGAAAUCGGGAAGCAAGAUUCAUGUUAUAGACCUCCAG